rnacentral:rRNA from 1 species
UACGUAGGGGGCGAGCGUUGUCCGGAAUCACUGGGCGUAAAGCGCGUGUAGGCGGCCCGGUAAGUCCGCUGUGAAAGUCCAGGGCUCAACCCUGGGAUGCCGGUGGAUACUGUCGGGCUCGAGUCCGGAAGAGGCGAGUGGAAUUCCUGGUGUAGCGGUGAAAUGCGCAGAUAUCAGGAGGAACACCGAUGGCGAAGGCAGCUCGCUGGGACGUGACUGACGCUGAGACGCGAAAGCGUGGGGAGCAAACAGG